UACGUAGGGGGCGAGCGUUGUCCGGAUUUAUUGGGCGUAAAGAGCGUGUAGGCGGCUCGGCACGUCCGUUGUGAAAUCGCCCGGCUCAACUGGGCGGGGUCGGCGGAUACGGCCGAGCUGGAGCAAGCUAGGGGGUAAUGGAAUUCCCGGUGUAGUGGUGGAAUGCGUAGAUAUCGGGAGGAACACCAGUGGCGAAGGCGGUUACCUGGAGCUUUGCUGACGCUGAUGCGCGAAAGCGUGGGGAGCGAGUCCGG
rnacentral:rRNA from 1 species